GUACGUAGGGUGCAAGCGUUGUCCGGAAUUAUUGGGCGUAAAGAGCUCGUAGGCGGUUUGUCGCGUCUGCUGUGAAAACUGGGGGCUCAACCCCCAGCCUGCAGUGGGUACGGGCAGACUAGAGUGCGGUAGGGGAGAUUGGAAUUCCUGGUGUAGCGGUGGAAUGCGCGGAUAUCAGGAGGAACACCAAUGGCGAAGGCAGAUCUCUGGGCCGUAACUGACGCUGAGGAGCGAAAGCAUGGGGAGCGAACAGG
rnacentral:rRNA from 1 species